rnacentral:lncRNA from 1 species
UCUGUAGCAACAGAUACAUUAUUUGUUGCAAUAUUUGAAUCUAGUAUUCCAUUUCAAUUAAUAAGUUCAAAUCUAAAAAAAAAUAAAAUUUAUAGACAAAAUAAAAUAAAUCAAAGCCUUCAGAAAUUAGCUAAAAUAAAUGAACUAAUAAAUGAAAUGUAAAAAAAUUGUUAUGGGUAUAGAUCUCAACAAAUACAUCAACAAUUUAAGUAUUGAUGCCAAGGAUUCCUAAGGAGGGGCCAGGU